rnacentral:rRNA from 1 species
UACGUAGGGUCCAAGCGUUGUCCGGAUUUAUUGGGCGUAAAGAGUUCGUAGGUGGUCGCUUAAGUCUGGUGUUAAAUAUCGAAGCUUAACUUCGACAUGGCAUUGGAAACUGGGCGGCUGGAGUCCGUCAGAGGUAACUGGAAUUCCAGGUGUAGCGGUGAAAUGCGUAGAUAUCUGGAGGAACACCGGUGGCGAAGGCGACAUCCUGGACCGGUAUUGACGCUGAGGCGCGAAAGCCAGGGGAGCAAACGGG